rnacentral:rRNA from 1 species
AUUGAACGCUGGCGGCAGGCCUAACACAUGCAAGUCGAGCGGAGCGGCGGACGGGUGCGUAAUGCUUAGGUAUCUGCCUGGUAGUGGGGGAUCACGUCCGGAAACGGGCGCUAAUACCGCAUACUAUCAGAUGAGCCUAGGUCGGAUUAGCUAGUUGGUUGGGUAACGGCCUACCAAGGCGAUGAUCCGUAACUGGUAUGAGAGGAUGAUCAGCCACACGGGAACGGAGACACGGCCCAGACGCCUACGGGAGGCAGCAGUAGGGAAUCUUCGACAAUGGACGAAAGUCUGACCGAGCAACGCCGCGUGAGUGAAGAAGGUUUUCGGGUUGUAAAGUACGUUCAGCGGGGAGGCGUUACCCGCAGAAGAAGCACCGGCUAACUCCGUGCCAGCCGCCGCGGUAAUUC